rnacentral:lncRNA from 1 species
GAGGAUGAGUUGGAUGAUGAACUGGACGAUAUCCCGUCGAAGAUGAAGGCGAUGAUGGGCCCGGGUGCAGGGGCUAAUUCUAGUGGUGCUCAGAUGAAGCUGCCAAUGAUGAGUGGUAAUCCUGGAGCUCAGAUGAAGCCGCCAAUGAUGGGUGGUAAUCCUGGAGCUCAGAUGAAGCCGAUGAUGGGUGGUAAUGGUGGAGGAGGUCAGAUGCCUAAUAUGAUGAUGAUGAAUGGUCUUAUGAAUGGGCAGCACCCUCAGCUUAUGAAGGGUGGAAAUGGCGGUAACAAUGGUGGCAAUAAUGGAGGUGGUGGUAAUGGGAAAAAAGGUGGUGGUAAUGUCCCUGUUCAGAUUAACAUGGGCGGAAAUAACG